ACCUCCUCCAUGUGCUGCUGGUCCUCAGAAGGAAGUGCUCCCCUAAAUCUGUGUCUCAGACACAGGGUUCAAGAUUAAGAUAGAUUCCUCUCUCCUACUACAAUCUGCCUUUUCUAUCUAAUGCUGUGGUGCCACAAUCUUGUCUUCACUUUAUCCCUUCAGAGGGUGACUGUGAGAUGAACCUUGCUAAUGAGGUGGGGGAAGGACUAUUCACCAAGGCCAGGGUAGGAAAGCUCUCCAAAGCAGGAAUGUACUCUUCAGUCAAGUGCAGUCCCCUGUGCUUGUCCUGGGAGGAUCUGUGAAGGAGGUAUGGAAGUGCCAAGUGCUCUCCUGGUGUUCAGGUUGCCUCACCUUCCCCUUGUUGCACUGCUGAUAAGGGGAGACACAUCUGCACUGCCUGGGGAGCCAGUCUGUGGAAUUUGCUGCUGCAGAAAGACCAAGAACUUGAGGUUAUGCAUUUAGGGGGAUGCUUCUUUGGUUCAGAAGAGUGAUGGUUAGGAAUAACCCUGUUAUUAAGUCUUGCCACUGGCUUCCAGAGAGUCAUCCCAGGGCAGUGAUGUUUCAAGGAGAGAAAGGUUGGGCCUAUUCAGAGUGGCCCAAGUGACUGCAGGCCGCUGAUAAGUUUCUCAGGAUAUUGCUUAACCACUCACGGGAGCACUUCACCAUCCACAAAGCAAACAAAUUGGGAAGUCCUUAGGGACUGUAAAUAGUAGCAGAGAUGGCCCUGAAGAAGUUAGAGAGAAAACCCCAAUUGGAUUGACACAAAAAGCUUGGUGGUCUCUCCUGUUUGCUGCUGUGAUGCAGCUCUAAUGCACUCCAUCUUUCAACUGUACUCAAAAUGACUUCAUACAGGCUUGCUACUGGGUAGGAAGUACUGGGUAGUGCAGCAGAGUGCAGUACUUUCUGCUAGAAAAAGGUGCACAGAAAAGUGCUAGUGCUGUGCCCUUAAAUAAUUUUCCAGUCAAGGUGUGGGGAGAAAGGUAAAGCCCAAGUGGACCACCUAUUUUAAAGCCAGUAUCUCUUUGCUUACUGUGUAGCUGUAAAGGAUAUAAUUUCAUUGACCUGUAAACAGAGCAGGGUUGGAAUGUCUCUUCCAGCUUUGGAAAACUUUCUGAAACACCAUUCACAUUCCUAUUCUCUGUUAGUACCAAACCAGAGUCUUCCAUGAGGAAGAGGAAGGACCAAGCUGUUGAUUCCAGCUGCUGGUCCAGCACUCAGCUUGGGAACAGGAUGGGUUGCUGUGUAUUGGCCAGUCCCAUACAAAACACAUCUUUCAGAGGGUUAUAGGGCAGAGGGGAGAAAGAAUUUGCUGAGUUAUUGCUAUAGGGGAUAGCCAUAGACAAAAAUGAGACAGACAAAUAUUUCAGCAUCAAUAGGAACUAAUCCAAAGUUUUACGGAAAAUUCAUUACCAUUCCUCCUCAAUUUUUCUUUUAGUAGUUGCUUACAAUGACUUCAAGACAGAGUUUAUUUUCAAUUUACCUCAUUCCUGUUAGUGGCAGCAGCUUCAAGAUCAGGCUGAUAAUUACUAAGGCCAGAGGAGACCACAGAUUAUCUGAGGUCCUUCAGAAAAUGCCUGUUGGCUGUUCAGGUACUUGUGGUGUCAGAGAAUUUGAGACUUCUACAUCUAGUCAGCUCCUCCACCUACAAGAGCAGGCAGCUGCAGCACAUUAGGAGCUCCUCUAGUUAUGGCCUAUAGCUGGAAACUCCUCAAGGAAGGAGGGUUCUCCUUAGGCUUCACAUGCUGAUCUGAGAAAGCCAGGGCUGCAGUUAGAGGUCACCACAAACUAAGAUCUGCAGAAAAGGUAUAAGGUAAAGUUUGGAUUAAGAUUCUGAUGUUUCAACCUUGAGCCCCCGGUAUGCUUGUGUACUUGGUGUGAUGGAGGUACCAUGCUCCAGCUGGGGUACAUGAUCUCUUUACAGACUUGUGCCUGCUGCCUCCAGCAGAAGGCAUGGUAUGUAGAAGUCCUACGUACUUAUGGGAUUAAGGAGCCAGUUGUGUAGUAGAAGGAACAAGAGGUGUGCUUGGAUCUGUUUCUUGUUUCCUAGUAUGCUGUAAUACAUGGCUUUAAGCACAUCAAAAUCUUGGUGUAAAGGAACAAGAUCAGGAAUCUAUUCUUAAAACUGGCCAAAACAAACACUUCUUAAUACAAAUGAUGAAAACUGACAUUUUCCAAAUCAUAUUGAUUUUGCAGAUCAAACUGAAUGGGUAAAGGGGCCAAAUGGGAUGAUUUUUGGUAAUUGUCACUGAAGCGAUGUGUUUAUUCUAUUUCUAAAGAGGGACCUGCCUUUUAAGAUAAUUCGAUUUCCAAGAAAACUAAAAAAGGCCCCCAAGUUAAACAGAUUAGGCAAUCCCAGGAAAAGUAAGGCAGGUUGACCCAUGGAAAGUGUCAAUGUGGAGGGAAGGGGCAAGUUGGUCAAUCCCAGCUGGCAGCAUGUAGAGACAGGGACAAAUGACCAAUAAGUGCUGAGUGUGUGAGGGAGGAGGCAUGGACUGCCCAAUUGGGACCAGCUAUUGCAGGGGUGGGGGAACUAAUGGACCCAUCAGAGCCUGUGGUGCUGUGGAGGAUGUGCAAACAUCGAUUUGAAUAAUAAGAAAAGAGAGAAAAGAAGACCCACCAAAGAAACAAAUCUUGAAGACAAUUAAAAUGGUUGAGCAAAGAAGAUCCAGCGCCUGCUUUAAAAGACAAAGAAAAACAAACAAACAAAACCCUAAAC